GACAGAGGGUGCAACGUUGUUCGGAAUUACUGGGCGUAAAGCGCGUGUAGGCGGCCCUGCAAGUCGGGUGUGAAAUCCCAUGGCUCAACCAUGGAAAGUGCACUCGAAACUGCAGGGCUAGAGUCCUGGAGAGGAAGGUGGAAUGCUUGGUGUAGAGGUGAAAUUCGUAGAUAUCAAGCGGAACACCGGUGGCGAAGGCGGCCUUCUGGACAGUGACUGACGCUGAGACGCGAAAGCGUGGGGAGCAAACAGG
rnacentral:rRNA from 1 species